rnacentral:rRNA from 1 species
GUUUUUUUGAUUUAUAAUUUAAAAUUUAACCUGCCCUAUGAUGAUAAUUAAAUGGCUGCGGUAUUUUGACCGUGCAAAGGUAGCAUAAUCAUUUGUCUUUUAAUUGGAGGCUAGUAUGAAUGGUUGGAUGAGAAAUUAACUUUCUUUGUAUAUAUAUUUUGAAUUUAAUUUUUUAGUUAAAAAGCUUAAAUUUUUUUAUAGGACGAGAAGACCCUAUAGAACUUUACUUUUUAUAUUAAUUUUUUAUUUUUAGUUUUAUUAUUUAAUUUUUUUUGUAAAAAGUUUUGUUGGGGUGACAUAAAAAUUUAAAUAACUUUUUAUUAUUUUUUUCAUUAAUUUAUGUUUUUUUGAUCCAUAAUUUAUGAUUAUAAGAUUAAGUUACCUUAGGGAUAACAGCGUAAUUUUUUUGGAGAGUUCUUAUCGAUAAAAUAGUUUGCGA